rnacentral:rRNA from 1 species
UACGAAGGGGGCUAGCGUUGCUCGGAAUUACUGGGCGUAAAGCGCACGUAGGCGGCUUUCUAAGUCGGGGGUGAAAUCCUGGAGCUCAACUCCAGAACUGCCUUCGAUACUGGAAAGCUCGAGUCCGGGAGAGGUGAGUGGAACUGCGAGUGUAGAGGUGAAAUUCGUAGAUAUUCGCAAGAACACCAGUGGCGAAGGCGGCUCACUGGCCCGGUACUGACGCUGAGGUGCGAAAGCGUGGGGAGCAACAGGAU